AAAUGUUAAAGUUCUUAUUUCAUGGUAUAACUUUGGUAUGCUUGGACCUAGAGUCUUCAAACUUGACAUGAAGGUUGGCCAGGAUUAACAGAUGACCACUGGUAAUUUCAAGGUCAUUCAUUUGAAGGUGAAGGUCACUGUGACCUUCAAUAUAAAAAUGUUAAAGUUGUUAUAACUUUGGUAUGCUUGGACCUAGAGUCUUGAAACUUGACAUGAAGGUUGGCCAGAACUAGUAAGUAACCACUGGACAUUUCAAGGUCAUUCAUUUGAAGGUCAAGGUCACUGUGACCUUGAAUGUAAAAAUGUUAAAGUUGUUAUAAAUUUGGUAUGCUUGGACCUAGAGUCUUGAAACUUGACAUGAAGGUUGGCCAGAACUAGUAAGUAACCACUGGACAUUUCAAGGUCAUUCAUUUGAAGGUCAAGGUCACUGUGACCUUGAAUGUAAAAAUGUUAAAGUUCUUAUUUCAUGUUAUAACUUUGGUAUGCUUGUACCUAGAGUCUUCAAACUUGAAAUAAAGAUUGGCCAGUACUAGAAGAUGACCACUGGUCAUUUCAAUGUCAUUCAUUUGAAGGUCAAGGUCACUGUGACCUUAAAUGUUAAAAUGUUAAAAUUGUUAUAACUUUGGUAUGCUUGGACAUAGAGUCUUCAAACUUGACAUGAAGGUUUGCAAGCACACUUAGAUGACCACUGGUCAUUUCAAGGUCAUUCAUUCUAAGGUCAAGGUCACUGUGACCUUGAAUGUAAAAAUGUUAAAGUUCUUAUAACUUUGGUAGGUAAAAAUGUUAAAGUUCUUAUUCCAUGUUAUAACUUUGGUAUGCUUGUACCUUGAGUCUUCAAACUUGACAUAAAGGUUGGCCAGUACUAGAAGAUCACCACUGCUCAUUUCAAUGUCAUUCAUUUGAAGGUCAAGGUCACUGUGACCUUCAAUGUUAAAAUGUUAAAAUUGUUAUAACUUUGGUAUGCUUGGACCUAGAAUCUCAAACUUGACGUAAAGGUUUGCAAGCACACUUAGAUGACCACUGGUCAUUUCAAGGUCAUUCAUUUCAAUGUCAUUCAUUUGAAGGUCAAGGUCACUGUGAACUUAAAUGUUAAAAUGUUAAAAUUGUUGUAACUUUGGUAUGCUUGGACCUAGAAUCUCAAACUUGACGUAAAGGUUUGCAAGCACACUUAGAUGACCACUGGUCAUUUCAAGGUCAUUCAUUUGAAGGUCGAGGUCACUGUGACCUUGGAUGUAAAUAUGUUAAAGUUGUUAAUACUUUGGUAUGCUUAGACCUAGAGUCUUCAAACUUGAUAUGAAGGUUGGCCAGAACUAGUAGAUGACCACUGGUCAUUUUAAGGUCAAGGUCACCGUGACCUUGAAUGUAAAAAUGUUAAAA